rnacentral:rRNA from 1 species
GACGAACGCUGGCGGCGUGCCUAACACAUGCAAGUCGAACGAAGCAUAGCAAUAUGCUUAGUGGCGGACGGGUGAGUAACGCGUGAACAAUCUGCCCUGUACAAAGGAAUAGCCUCGGGAAACCGGGAUUAAAACCGUAUGACACUUUAGUAUCGCAUGAUAAGAAAGUCAAAUCGAUUAGAGGUAUGGGAUGAGUUCGCGUCUGAUUAGCUGGUUGGCGGGGUAACGGCCCACCAAGGCGACGAUCAGUAGCCGGCCUGAGAGGGUGAACGGCCACACUGGAACUGAGACACGGUCCAGACUCCUACGGGAGGCAGCAGUGGGGAAUAUUGCACAAUGGAGGGAACUCUGAUGCAGCGACGCCGCGUGAGUGAAGAAGGUCUUCGGAUCGUAAAACUCUGUCCUUGGUGAAGAAAAGGACGGUAAGCCGAAGGAGGAAGCCCCGGGCUAACUACGUGCCAGCAGCCGCGGUAAGACGUAGCGUG